GGGAUUGCCCUAGUAACGGCGAGUGAAGCGGCAACAGCUCAAAUUUGAAAUCUGGCCCUCGGGUCCGAGUUGUAAUUUGUAGAGGAUGCUUUUGGUGCGGUGCCUUCCGAGUUCCCUGGAACGGGACGCCAUAGAGGGUGAGAGCCCCGUCUGGUUGGACACCAAGCCUCUGUAAAGCUCCUUCGACGAGUCGAGUAGUUUGGGAAUGCUGCUCUAAAUGGGAGGUAUAUGUCUUCUAAAGCUAAAUACCGGCCAGAGACCGAUAGCGCACAAGUAGAGUGAUCGAAAGAUGAAAAGCACUUUGAAAAGAGGGUUAAAUAGUACGUGAAAUUGUUGAAAGGGAAGCGCUUAUGACCAGACUUGAGCCCGGUUAAUCAUCCAGCCUUCUGGCUGGUGCACUUGGCCGGCUCAGGCCAGCAUCAGUUCGGCGCGGGGGAUAAAGGCUUCGGGAAUGUGGCUCCUCCGGGAGUGUUAUAGCCCGUUGCGCAAUACCCUGCGCUGGACUGAGGUUCGCGCAUCUGCAAGGAUGCUGGCGUAAUGGUCAUCAGCGACCCGUCUUGAAACACGGACCAAGGAGUCGUCUUCGUAUGCGAGUGUUCGGGUGUCAAACCCCUACGCGUAAUGAAAGUGAACGCAGGUGAGAGCUUCGGCGCAUCAUCGACCGAUCCUGAUGUUCUCGGAUGGAUUUGAGUAAGAGCAUACGGGGCCGGACCCGAAAGAAGGUGAACUAUGCCUGUAUAGGGUGAAGCCAGAGGAAACUCUGGUGGAGGCUCGCAGCGGUUCUGACGUGCAAAUCGAUCGUCAAAUAUGGGCAUGGGGGCGAAAGACUAAUCGAACCUUCUAGUAGCUGGUUUCCGCCGAUU
rnacentral:rRNA from 1 species